AUUUAUAUAGUAUAAAUAUUAUUUUUGACUUCCAAUCAAAAGAUCUAGAAAUUAGUAUAAAUA
rnacentral:tRNA from 1 species